AAUUAUAUCGAUCGUUACUAUAAAACAUUUUAUUGUUAUCGAUAGAGCGAUCGUUUAUGUAAAAUAAAAUAUACAUUCGACAAGAAAGUAAAAUAACAGUAAAUCAAAAUAAUUUAAGAAAAAUACCAGAAGCUUUUCCUAAAGAAUUCUGUGGGCGAAGUGCGGGUUAGCAUUUCACUUAUCACCAUCGAAUCGAUUCGAAACGAGACACAGCGAACCAAUCAUAUUUCGCCAUUGUGACGCAACGACAACCACACGGCAAUGUCAUUGGUUCGCUGCGUGUCACUUCGAAUCGAUCCGACGGUGAGAAGUAAAAAUGCAAACUCGCACUACGCCCUCUGAAUCCUGUAAAAACGUCAUAGUGAGAAAACUUGUAUCUACUAUAUUUUAUGAACCAUAAAGUUAUCUAUAUAAUUAUUAUUACUAUUGUAAUUGUUGUUAAUGCAAGAUUUUAACAAUACAUAAGAAGCGUUGCAUCAGUCACUUUAACUUUAACCUGCGCAGAACAACGCAAAGUAUGUCAUUGUAUCUAAACGACGGCGGCGGCGCGCAGGUUAAUUAUAACGUCUAAAUUGACUGGUGCAACUCACUCUUAUAGUUUAAGAUUUUGACGUUAACGAAUGCAAAAUAUAAUCCAAUUAAUGUAAUCAUAAAAAUGUCAAUCAAAUCUCAAUUGAUGAGUGAAUCAAUACUGUAAUCUAUCCACUAGUUAUGCGUGAAAUUUAAACAUGGGGUCGAAUUUGGAAAUUUGAAAUCUUAAUUAAAAAAUUUCAAACUUUUUUCAAUAGAAAAAAUGACAAGCAUUGCAUAAUAAGUUCGUCAGGAUGAUAAAAUCCCUAAGGAGAAAUGGUUGGAUAGAUGGAUUAACUCCGAAGCGGUUAACAAAACUCUUAUCGCCGACCCCAACGCGAAAAUACUGGACGCAAAUAAAUAGGUGCCGAACUUCGCGAGGAAGACGCGCCGAAUUGCUGUGCAGAUGGAACUUCUCGGACAGUCCUCUGGGUCGCUGCGCGGAGAUCCAAAGUAUGCGGCACGUCACUGACCUCUGUCCAUUAUACUCUAUUGAAGGUGGCAUUGUCACGAUCCACGAAGCCGACAAUGUUAUCCAAAGGUGGAUUGAUGGCUUGCCUUUCGAUUUUUAGUCCCAGUUUGUGUUGUAUGGGGAAAAAAACUAUUCGCAAAUAAUAAUAAUAUAAUGAGAAGAUAAUAUAGAUAGAUUGAUAAUAAUUAUAAUAUUUAUAAUAUUGAUAAUAUAGAUAUAAAAUAGAAGAUAAGAAAAGAAACUCAAGGAAUGAUGGAAAAUUGGAUAAAGGGUCAAGAAUACAAUGUUGAGGUGCCAUCUUCAUGUUAUUAUAUAAAUUACGUAAAAGUGGAAAUCGUCAACCCAGAAGCUAAGCCGCAAGUGACUAGCCUAAACUAUCACGCGAAUGUAUUAAUUAAAUAUAAUGACACCCAAACAAGCUUGUCCAGAUACACAAUAAUUUAUAAAGCUAUCGACUUUUGUACAACAACGAAGAAUUUUAAUAUAAUUUCCAGAGUUUAAAUAAAAUUGUCGCUUAAUAUAUGUUUAUUAUAUAGAUUAAGAAUAAUACAAAUUAUACAAUUUGUACCGUUUUAAUUGUGAAUGUAAAAUAUUUGUUUUACGUAGAGUUAUUAAUAUAGGUAUAACUAUUGUAACUAACAUUGCCGAAUAUUAUGUACCUAAAAUUUAACCAGUGGCGAAUUAAAAUGUUUGUUUCUUGCUGUUUGAUUCACA